UCCAUGAAGUCGGAAUCGCUAGUAAUCGCGAAUCAGAAUGUCGCGGUGAAUACGUUCCCGGGCCUUGUACACACCGCCCGUCACACCAUGGGAGUGGGUUGUACCAGAAGUAGAUAGCUUAACCUUUAGGAGGGCGUUUACCACGGUAUGAUUCAUGACUGGGGUGAAGUCGUAACAAGGUAACCGUAGGGGAACCUGCGGUUGGAUCACCUCCUUACUGA
rnacentral:rRNA from 1 species